rnacentral:tRNA from 1 species
GGGUCUGUCGGCGACGUGUCAGUGCGAGCGCCGGGACCGAGAACACGCCACCCACUGACUGCACCCGGAGAAGACCUGGCUCGGCGCUCGAGGACCGGGGUUCGAUUCCCCGCAGCUCCACCA